rnacentral:rRNA from 1 species
CAAGAGCGUAUGUAAAAGUUGUUGCAGUUAAAAAGCUCGUAGUUGAACCUUGGGUUUGGUUGGCCGGUCCGCUUUUUUGCGAGUACUGGAUUCAACCGAGCCUUUCCUUCUGGCUAACCAGUCGUUUCGGCGGCUGGCGAACCAGGAUUUUUACUUUGAGAAAAUUAGAGUGUUCAAAGCAGGCAUUAGCUUGAAUAUAUUAGCAUGGAAUAAUAGAAUAGGACGUUAUGGUUCUAUUUUGUUGGUUUCUAGGACCAUCGUAAUGAUUAAUAGGGACGGUCGGGGGCAUCAGUAUUCAGUUGUCAGAGGUGAAAUUCUUGGAUUUACUGAAGACUAACUACUGCGAAAGCAUUUGCCAAGGACUUUUUCAUUAA